rnacentral:rRNA from 1 species
GGCGGUCGAGGAAUAAGAGCUGGGCAAGACCGGUGCCAGCCGCCGCGGUAAUACCGGCAGCUCAAGUGAUGACCGAUAUUAUUGGGCCUAAAGCGUCCGUAGCCGGCCAUGAAGGUUCAUGGGAAAUCCGCCAGCUCAACUGGCGGGCGUCCGGUGAAAACCACAUGGCUUGGGACCGGAAGGCUCGAGGGGUACGUCCGGGGUAGGAGUGAAAUCCCGUAAUCCUGGACGGACCACCGAUGGCGAAAGCACCUCGAGAAGACGGAUCCGACGGUGAGGGACGAAAGCUAGGGUCUCGAACCGGAUUAGAUACCCGGGUAGUCCUAGCUGUAAACGAUGCUCGCUAGGUGUGACACAGGCUACGAGCCUGUGUUGUGCCGUAGGGAAGCCGAGAAGCGAGCCGCCUGGGAAGUACGUCCGCAAGGAUGAAACUUAAAGGAAUUGGCGGGGGAGCACUACAACCGGAGGAGCCUGCGGUUUAAUUGGACUCAACGCCGGACAUCUCACCAGCU